rnacentral:rRNA from 1 species
GACGAACGCUGGCGGCGUGCUUAACACAUGCAAGUCGAACGGAAAGGCCCUGCUUUUGUGGGGUGCUCGAGUGGCGAACGGGUGAGUAACACGUGAGUAACCUGCCCUUGACUUUGAGAUAACUUCAGGAAACUGGGGCUAAUACCGGAUAGGAGCUCCUGCUGCAUGGUGGGGGUUGGAAAGUUUCGGCGGUUGGGGAUGGACUCGCGGCUUAUCAGCUUGUUGGUGGGGUAGUGGCUUACCAAGGCUUUGACGGGUAGCCGGCCUGAGAGGGUGACUGGCCACAUUGGGACUGAGAUACGGCCCAGACUCCUACGGGAGGCAGCAGUGGGGAAUAUUGCACAAUGGGCGGAAGCCUGAUGCAGCAACGCCGCGUGCGGGAUGACGGCCUUCGGGUUGUAAACCGCUUUCGCCUGUGACGAAGCGUGAGUGACGGUAAUGGGUAAAGAAGCACCGGCUAACUACGUG